CCUACGGGAGGCAGCCGCGGUAAUAUUGAGCAAUGGGCGAAAGCCUGACUCAGCAACGCCGCGUGAAGGAUGAAGGCCUUCGGGUCGUAAACUUCUGUCGAGAGGGAAGAAUGCGUGCGGGUGAAUAAUCCGUACGUUUGACGGUACCUCCAAAGGAAGCACCGGCUAACUCCGUGCCAGCAGCCGCGGUAAU
rnacentral:rRNA from 1 species